rnacentral:lncRNA from 1 species
AUCUUCGACCUGCCCAUGCCUGCGCGCUGACUCUCACCUCUCCGACCUGCUCCAGCGGAAGGUUCUCUGCCCCGGGCAAAGCUAUUUGAGCAGGCCAAGAGUUGAAGAAAAAUACCAGACCAAACCAGCUCCUCCAGCAUGAAAGACAAAAGCAAGAAAAGCAAGGUGCAGGUGGGGCCUAUCCGAUCCUUUUUCUUAAUACUUGUCGGAAACCUCUAGUUUGUUGAGGCUACAUGUAGCAUGCUCUGAAUUUCUUACCCUGCUUCCAACACAUUAAAAAUGUGUAUUUAUUAAGUUAAAUACCAUCUAGGGCCACUAGAUGUCACUGCCUUCAAUCUGUUCCACAAACUGCCACUUGCUGGGAGCUGAGAAGCCGGCCAGACAUUUCAGUGCAGGAAGAGCCCUCGCGGCGACAACCGCGAAGAGGACUUCCCGCGAGUGCGUGGGGCUAGAAGCACUUCCAGUGAUUCUUUGCAAGGUUCAAAGUGAAAGUGAACAGACCAGUCAAAGGGAGCUCGCGUUCAGGUUCCUGUUAUUCGGACUAUGCUGGGCCGGGAAGGGCGCACGGAACGGGACCUAUGGCCUACAGACUCACCGCGCCCUCCGUCCCCGCCCACGCCUAGGGUACCAUCUGCCCGCCUGUGCUCUGCGCUGAGUGCCCAGCCAGCCGCAACCCCACAGAUGACCACGACGUUGACCUGCCUGUUUCCACUUUGCAGGAAAGGAGACAGAGUGAGGAGGCCAGCAACAGGCACAAGAGCUCCUUUUUGACGUGGGAUCAGGGAGGCCCCAGGUGGUGGCCGCAGAGGAGCUGUAUUCACCCUGCCUCCUAGUUGGGGCACCACACUAGUUCCAAAUGGGGGAAACUAGGGCAAGACUGGAGCUAAAGGAGCAGGGAAACCUUUGAAUCCAUAACGAAUGCUACACAACUUCCAGAGGCACAUGGCCCAACAGAAAAGCCUCAGAUGGAGUAACAUCUAAAAGGACUGAGUAUUUGGAAACGUGUUCCUUUGGGGCAAAGAUGACACCUCCUAGGUUGAUGCGUGAUUGGCAUCAGCCAGGGCCUGAAUUUAUGUUUCUUAUAAUGGUUUUAUAGUUCUUGAUUAAAUUGUGCAUUUUCUUUUUGCACUGUUCCGCAGUUUUAAUAUUCAUUCCCAUUGUAGCUGGACAUACUCAUCUGCAGUUCAGUUCACAACAGAAAUGAUAAUUUGUGUAGGAGGGAUGACAGCCCA